GGGAUGGUGGCUCAGUGUUAGAGCGCUUUGCCUUGCAUGCAUGAGGCCCUGGGUUCGA
rnacentral:tRNA from 1 species